GGUCCUAUAGUGUAGUGGUCUAGCACGUCGGAUUCUGACUGUAGUCAACAGGUGUUCCGGAGACUCCAGUUCAAACCUGGAUAGGACCU
rnacentral:tRNA from 1 species